GACAGAGGGUGCAAACGUUGCUCGGAAUUACUGGGCGUAAAGCGCGUGUAGGCGGACUGGUGUGUCGGAUGUGAAAUCCCCAGGCUCAACCUGGGAACUGCAUUCGAAACUGCCAGCCUUGAGUGGUGGAGAGGGAAGUGGAAUUCCUGGUGUAGAGGUGAAAUUCGUAGAUAUCAGGAGGAACACCAGUGGCGAAGGCGGCUUCCUGGACACCAACUGACGCUGAGACGCGAAAGCGUGGGGAGCAAACAGGAUU
rnacentral:rRNA from 1 species